UAGGGAAUCUUCCGCAAUGGGCGAAAGCCUGACGGAGCAACGCCGCGUGAGUGAUGAAGGUCUUCGGAUCGUAAAACUGUGUUAUUAGGGAAGAACAAAUGUGUAAGUAACUAUGCACGUCUUGACGGUACCUAAUCAGAAAGCCACGGCUAACUACGUGCCAGCAGCCGCGGUAAUACGUAGGUGGCAAGCGUUAUCCGGAAUUAUUGGGCGUAAAGCGCGCGUAGGCGGUUUUUUAAGUCUGAUGUGAAAGCCCACGGCUCAACCGUGGAGGGUCAUUGGAAACUGGAAAACUUGAGUGCAGAAGAGGAAAGUGGAAUUCCAUGUGUAGCGGUGAAAUGCGCAGAGAUAUGGAGGAACACCAGUGGCGAAGGCGACUUUCUGGUCUGUAACUGACGCUGAUGUGCGAAAGCGUGGGGAUCAAACAGG
rnacentral:rRNA from 1 species